rnacentral:rRNA from 1 species
UCAAGUGAAUAAGCGUGCACGGUGGAUGCCUUGGCAGUCAGAGGCGAUGAAGGACGUUGUAACCUGCGAUAAGGUACGGGGAACUGGUAAACAAGUUUUGAUCCGUACAUUUCCGAAUGGGGAAACCCACCACGUAAGUGGUAUCUCUUUACUGAAUAUAUAGGUUUAGAGAGGCGAACUCGGGGAACUGAAACAUCUAAGUACCCGAAGGAAAAGAAAUCAACCGAGAUUCCCUUAGUAGCGGCGAGCGAACGGGGACCAGCCCUUAAGCUGGAUUUGGGUUAGAAGAACAAGCUGGAAAGCUUGGCCAUAGUGGGUGAUAGCCCCGUAUUCGAAAACCCUUUUCCAGUGAAAUCGAGUAGGACGGGACACGUGUUAUCCUGUCUGAACAUGGGGGGACCAUCCUCCAAGGCUAAAUACUCCUGACUGACCGAUAGUGAACCAGUACCGUGAGGGAAAGGCGAAAAGAACCCCUGUGAGGGGAGUGAAAUAGACCCUGAAACCGUGUACGUACAAGCAGUGGGAGCCGACUUAGUUCGGUGACUGCGUACCUUUUGUAUAAUGGGUCAACGACUUACUUUCAGUAGCAAGCUUAACCGUUUAGGGGAGGCGUAGGGAAACCGAGUCUUAAUAGGGCGCAUAGUUGCUGGGAGUAGACCCGAAACCGGGCGAUCUAUCCAUGGGCAGGUUGAAGGUUGAGUAACAUCAACUGGAGGACCGAACCGACUACCGUUGAAAAGUUAGCGGAUGACCUGUGGAUCGGAGUGAAAGGCUAAUCAAGCUCGGAGAUAGCUGGUUCUCCUCGAAAGCUAUUUAGGUAGCGCCUCAUGUCUCACCUUGGGGGGUAGAGCACUGUUUCGGCUAGGGGGUCAUCCCGACUUACCAACCCGAUGCAAACUCCGAAUACCCAAGAGUGCAAUCAUGGGAGACACACGGCGGGUGCUAACGUCCGUCGUGAAAAGGGAAACAACCCAGACCGCCAGCUAAGGUCCCAAACUUCUAGUUAAGUGGGAAACGAUGUGGGAAGGCUCAGACAGCUAGGAGGUUGGCUUAGAAGCAGCCAUCCUUUAAAGAAAGCGUAAUAGCUCACUAGUCGAGUCGGCCUGCGCGGAAGAUAUAACGGGGCUCAAACUAGAGACCGAAGCUGCGGAUGCGUUUAACGCAUGGUAGAGGAGCGUUCUGUAAGCUGUUGAAGCGGAAGCUGUAAGGCACCGUGGAGGUAUCAGAAGUGCGAAUGUUGACAUAAGUAACGAUAAAGGGAGUGAAAAACUCCCUCGCCGGAAGACCAAGGGUUCCUAUCCAACGUUAAUCGGGGUAGGGUGAGUCGACCCCUAAGAUGAGGCUGAAAAGCGUAAUCGAUGGGAAGCAGGUUAAUAUUCCUGCACCUCGCAUAGCUGCGAUGGAGAGACGGAGAAGGCUAGGCUAGCGCGGCGUUGGUUGUCCGCGUUUAAGGAUGUAGGUUUGGAACUUAGGCAAAUCCGGGUUCCUAUAUGACUGAGAUCUGAUGACGAGCUCCUAUAUGAAGUGAAGUAGUUGAUGCCCGGCUUCCAGGAAAAUCUUCUAAGCUUCAGGCUAUGUGGGAUCGUACCCCAAACCGACACAGGUGGUCAGGUUGAGAAUACCAAGGCGCUUGAGAGAACUCGGGUGAAGGAACUAGGCAAAAUGGCACCGUAACUUCGGGAGAAGGUGCGCCGGUUUUGGUGAUGGGACUUGCUCCCUAAGCUGAGGCCGGUCGAAGAUACCAGGUGGCUGCGACUGUUUAUUAAAAACACAGCACUCUGCAAACACGAAAGUGGACGUAUAGGGUGUGACGCCUGCCCGGUGCUUGAAGGUUAAUUGAUGGGGUUAGCUCACGCGAAGCUCUUGAUCGAAGCCCAAGUAAACGGCGGCCGUAACUAUAACGGUCCUAAGGUAGCGAAAUUCCUUGUCGGGUAAGUUCCGACCUGCACGAAUGGCGUAACG